rnacentral:rRNA from 1 species
UACGUAGGGGACGAGCGUUGUCCGGAAUUACUGGGCGUAAAGGGCGCGCAGGCUGUAGAUCAAGUCAGCUGUGAAAUGUCUGGGCUUAACCCGGGCAUGCGGUUGAAACUGAUGUACUGGAGUGCUGUAGAGGCAAGUGGAAUUCCCAGUGUAGCGGUGAAAUGCGUAGAUAUUGGGAAGAACACCGGUGGCGAAGGCGACUUGCCGGGCAGCAACUGACGCUGAGGCGCGAAAGCCAGGGGAGCAAACGGGGAUUAGAUACCCGU